AGUGGCAGACGGGUGAGUAACGCGUGGGAACGUACCCCUCGGUUCGGAAUAACUCAGGGAAACUUGAGCUAAUACCGGAUACGGCCGAGAGGCGAAAGAUUUAUCGCCGAGGGAUCGGCCCGCGUCCGAUUAGCUAGUUGGUGAGGUAACGGCUCACCAAGGCGACGAUCGGUAGCUGGUCUGAGAGGAUGAUCAGCCACAUUGGGACUGAGACACGGCCCAAACUCCUACGGGAGGCAGCAGUGGGGAAUAUUGGACAAUGGGCGAAAGCCUGAUCCAGCCAUGCCGCGUGAGUGAUGAAGGCCUUAGGGUUGUAAAGCUCUUUCGUCAGGGACGAUAAUGACGGUACCUGAAGAAGAAGCCCCGGCUAACUUCGUGCCAGCAGCCGCGGUAAUACGAAGGGGGCUAGCGUUGUUCGGAAUCACUGGGCGUAAAGCGCAUGUAGGCGGGUCUUUAAGUCAGGGGUGAAAUGCCAAGGCUCAACCUUGGAACUGCCUUUGA
rnacentral:rRNA from 1 species